rnacentral:rRNA from 1 species
AGGGUGACUUAGCGGCGGACGGGUGAGUAACGCGUGGGCAACCUGCCUUACACAGGGGGAUAACAAUUAGAAAUGAUUGCUAAUACCGCAUAAGACCCCAGUACCGCAUGGUACAGGGGUAAAAACUGAGGUGGUGUAAGAUGGGCCCGCGUCUGAUUAGGUAGUUGGUGGGGUAGAAGCCUACCAAGCCGACGAUCAGUAGCCGACCUGAGAGGGCGACCGGCCACAUUGGGACUGAGACACGGCCCAAACUCCUACGGAAGGCAGCAG